GGCAAGAAUUUUGUGGAGGUAAAUUGCAUCUUUUUGAUGACAAUUCGAUAUGAAAAUUGGGUAAAUUCGGUUGUGUGCACGGACCGCGGCUCCGUUUUUUCUUCAAUAAUAAAAAUAAAAUUUACUAUUGAUAACUAAAAAGUUAUUGUGAAACUGCAAACAUUUGGAUUAUCUGCCAUUCUAAGCAGCAUCGGCGCUAACUUUGCAGCGUUAGAGAUUACAAAACACAUCAAGUACUAAGGCAAAAAGUGUUGGGGAAAAGCCAUUGCAGCCCUUGUAAUUUCGAAGUGUAGUGCUUGUGGGCACAAAUUUCGUGGCGUUGUGCAAAGAGCAGAAGUUCAGAACUUGGUGAAGCUGUAAACAAAAGAGGUUCUUUGCAUUAUUGACUUGCUGAACGUGUGAAAUCAAUAAAUAUACCUUAAAUAAAUCCGCAUAAACUUUUACUACGCAUGUACUAAGGCGCGCUAAACUACAAUACGAGCAAAAUACCAGGCAACAAUUAAAUUUUACCGAUUGCAAGAAAAUCACUAAAUUAAAAGAAAUUAAAAAAAAAAA